UACAGAGGUCCCGAGCGUUGUUCGGAUUCAUUGGGCGUAAAGGGUGCGUAGGCGGCUUCCUAAGUUUGAUGUGAAAUCCCGGGGCUCAACCCUGGAAUUGCAUUGAAUACUGGGGGGGCUAGAGUACUGGAGAGGAAACUGGAAUUUACGGUGUAGCAGUGAAAUGCGUAGAGAUCGUAAGGAAGACCAGUGGCGAAGGCGAGUUUCUGGACAGUAACUGACGCUGAGGCACGAAGGCCAGGGGAGCAAACGGG
rnacentral:rRNA from 1 species